UGUCGCUGCCCUCCUUGGGCGUUUCCUCCCUAGACUUGGGCCACUUGCAUCAUUUGCGAGUGGCCCUUUUUUCUUGCCUGC
rfam:Afipia sp. 62-7 SCNpilot_expt_1000_bf_scaffold_696, whole genome shotgun sequence.